UUUUUUCCGGGCACCGAAAGGAGAGUUGUCUUUAGCUGGACAAGGACGGCAUGUCGGAAAAAAUUCUCUUUUUUUUUUUUUUAACGUUACCAAACCGAACCGGUCGGUUUAUAGGUAUUAACUGUCUACAAAUUGUAUUCGAUUUGCGGUUUAGUUAGAUUUCAAACAAUAAACCGAUCGGUUUGGACAAAUUAAAAUCCCUAGAUUUACUUACAUACAACUCUU
rnacentral:lncRNA from 1 species